rnacentral:rRNA from 1 species
CCUACGGGAGGCAGCAGUAGGGAAUAUUGGGCAAUGGAGGCAACUCUGACCCAGCCAUGCCGCGUGAACGAAGAAGGCGCUAUGCGUCGUAAAGUUCUUUUAGAGGGGGCGAAAACACUUGAUUCAUCAAGUACUGACGGUACCUUCGGAAUAAGCACCGGCUAACUCUGUGCCAGCAGCCGCGGUAAUACAGAGGGUGCAAGCGUUAUCCGGAAUCACUGGGUUUAAAGGGUGCGUAGGCGGGAUUAUAAGUCAGAGGUGAAAUCUCGUCGCUUAACGACGGAAUUGCCUUUGAUACUGUUUUUCUUGAAAUUUGUUGAGGUUGGCGGAAUGAGACAUGUAGCGGUGAAAUGCUUAGAUAUGUCUUAGAACACCGAUUGCGAAGGCAGCUGACUGGACAAUAUUUGACGCUGAGGCACGAAAGCGUGGGGAUCAAACAGGAUUAGAUACCCUGGUAGUCCACGCCCUAAACGAUGUUUACUUGCUGUUUGUCUUUCGGGAUGAGUGGCGAAGCGAAAGCGAUAAGUAAACCACCUGGGGAGUACGCCCGCAAGGGUGAAACGUCAAAGGAAUUGACGG